CACACCCACCAGCACCAUGACAGUUUACUGUUGCCAUAGUAACAUCAGGUUGUUAUCCUCUAUGGUCUAAAAAGGGGGGAACCAUCAGUUCGGGGAAUUGCCCACCCCUGUCCAGGAAAACUCAUAAACAGCCCAGCCCUUGUUUGGUAUAUAAUCAAGAAAUAACUCCUCAGAAGAUAAAUAUUUCUUGUGGUACCUCUGACAUGGCAACAUGCCCAUGCACGUCGGCAGUGAAUAGAUGGGGUUGGUGGAUGGAAAUGGCAAACAGACCGGACAGACCUCACCCAAAACUUAACAGCAGCAGGCCCUGAGAGGGCCAGUGAAUCUCUCCAUGAUCCUUGGUUAGUGGUCAAUCUGAAGCUUUUCUUACCGAAACAAAUAAAGAUAUGUCUACAACAA